rnacentral:rRNA from 1 species
GAGUAUCCUUUCGUGUUCCGGAGGACUCUCUCCCUUUGUGAACAUACCUAACCGUUGCUUCGGCGGGCAGGGGAAGCCUCUCGCGGGCCUCCCCUCCCGGCGCCGGCCCCCACCAGGGGGACGGGGCGCCCGCCGGAGGAAACCAAACUCUAUUUACACGACGUCUCUUCUGAGUGGCACAAGCAAAUAAUUAAAACUUUUAACAACGGAUCUCUUGGUUCUGGCAUCGAUGAAGAACGCAGCGAAAUGCGAUAAGUAAUGUGAAUUGCAGAAUUCAGUGAAUCAUCGAAUCUUUGAACGCACAUUGCGCUCGCCAGCAUUCUGGCGAGCAUGCCUGUUCGAGCGUCAUUUCAACCCUCAAGCACCGCUUGGUUUUGGGGCCCCACGGCACACGUGGGCCCUUAAAGGUAGUGGCGGACCCUCCCGGAGCCUCCUUUGCGUAGUAACUAACGUCUCGCACUGGGAUCCGGAGGGACUCUUGCCGUAAAACGCCCCAAUUUUUUACAGGUUGACCUCGGAUCAGGUAGGAAUACCCGCUGAACUUAAGCAUAUCAUUAGCGGGAGGGAA